ACGCGUGCUCCGGGGUCGGUGUAAUUCCGAGCCGGCGGUGACAGUCCGCGAGCCCCUCCUCUCGAGGUGGGGUUGAGCUGGUGAAACUCCAGCACCGACGGUGAAAGUCCGGAUGGGAGGCAGCACGCGG
rnacentral:ncRNA from 2 species